rnacentral:rRNA from 1 species
GAUGAACGCUGGCGGCGUGCCUAAUACAUGCAAGUCGAGCGAACAGACGAGGAGCUUGCUCCUCUGACGUUAGCGGCGGACGGGUGAGUAACACGUGGAUAACCUACCUAUAAGACUGGGAUAACUUCGGGAAACCGGAGCUAAUACCGGAUAAUAUAUUGAACCGCAUGGUUCAAUAGUGAAAGACGGUUUUGCUGUCACUUAUAGAUGGAUCCGCGCCGCAUUAGCUAGUUGGUAAGGUAACGGCUUACCAAGGCAACGAUGCGUAGCCGACCUGAGAGGGUGAUCGCCCACACUGGAACUGAGACACGGUCCAGACUCCUACGGGAGGCAGCAGUAGGGAAUCUUCCGCAAUGGGCGAAAGCCUGACGGCGCAACGCCGCGUGAGUGAUGAAGGUCUUCGGAUCGUAAAACUCUGUUAUUAGGGAAGAACAAAUGUGUAAGUAACUAUGCACGUCUUGACGGUACCUAAUCAGAAAGCCACGGCUAACUACGUG